rnacentral:rRNA from 2 species
CUGGCUAAUACCGCAUGAACUCGGAAGAGCAAAGCGGGGGACCUUCGGGCCUCGCGCUCUCGGAGCGGCCGAUGUCCGAUUAGGCUAGUUGGUGGGGUAAAGGCCCACCAAGGCGACGAUCGGUAGCGGGUCUGAGAGGACGAUCCGCCACACUGGGACUGAGACACGGCCCAGACUCCUACGGGAGGCAGCAGUGGGGAAUCUUGGACAAUGGGCGCAAGCCUGAUCCAGCAAUGCCGCGUGGGUGAAGAAGGCCUUCGGGUUGUAAAGCCCUUUCGGCGGGGGAGAAAUCGGUCAGGCGAAUAGUCUGGCUGGAUGACGGUACCCGCAGAAGAAGCACCGGCUAACUACGUGCCAGCAGCCGCGGUAAUACGUAGGGUGCGAGCGUUAAUCGGAAUUACUGGGCGUAAAGGGUGCGCAGGCGGCCCUGUAAGACCGGUGUGAAAUCCCCGGGCUCAACCUGGGAAUUGCGCUGGUGACUGCAGGGCUAGAGUACGGUAGAGGGGGGUGGAAUUCCUGGUGUAGCAGUGAAAUGCGUAGAGAUCAGGAGGAACACCGAUGGCGAANGGCAGCCCCCUGGGCCUGUACUGACGCUCAUGCACGAAAGCGUGGGGAGCAAACAGGACUUAGAUACCUGGUAGUCCAGCCCUAAACGAUGAGAACUAGCCGUCUGGAGUUUCGUGCUCUGGGUGGCGCAGUAACGCGUGAAGUUUCCGCCUGGGGAGUACGCCAAGGUUAAAACUCAAAGGAAUUGACGGGGACCCGCACAAGCGGUGGAUGAUGUGGAUUAAUUCGAUGCAACGCGAAGAACCUUACCUACCCUUGACAUGCCGGGAAUCCUGCCCAGAGGCGGGAGUGCCUUCGGGAACCCGGACACAGGUGCUGCCUGGCUGUCGUCAGCUCGUGUCGUGAGAUGUUGGGUUAAGUCCCGCAACGAGCGCAACCCU